UUGGUAAUGAGUGGAUGUAAUGGGUGUAGUGGAUGAGUGUUUUGUAAUGAGUGGAUGUAAUGGGUGUAGUGGAUGGAUGUUAGGUAAUGAAUGGAUGUAAUGGGUGUAGUGGAUGAAUGUUUGGUAAUGAGUGGAUGUAAUAGGGUGUAGUAGAUGAGUGUUUGUAGUUGUAGGUCAACACACUUGCACACACACAUGCUGAUUUCUAGCCUUCUAAACUUCAAAAACAUCCAUCCUCAUGUCUCCAUGCUAGCACUAUCCAAUCUUGGCCCAAAAAUGCUCCAAAAUGCUCCAAAUAGCACUUUGUUGCCAACUUUGUUAUUUGAACCUACAAACACACGAAAAUAACUUAAAGUACCAAAAUAACUAGAAUUAAACUAAGUAAAUGCCAAGAAACAAGCUCACUAAGUUGCAUAAAUAUGCUCCUAUCAAAUUCCCCCACACUUGGCUUCUGCUAGUCUUCGAGCAAAACAAAAGAAACAAAACGAAACAAAACAAACAAAACACAACCUAACCUUCCAACAUUUGCCUCAGGGAUUUCCAAUGCACAUGACAUGUUAAAAAUCAUCAUUCCCACAUAUUUUGGUUAUCUUCACAAUUGAGCACAAACUUAAUCACAUGCACUACUUACUAGUUCACAAUUAACCAAUUAAAACGAUGUUUUGAAUGUAGUAACAUGCCUUAGAGAAUUUGCUCAAUUCCUUACAAGAUACUCUCUAUUUUCACACACAUUUUCUGACUACACACCCUACACUAGUUAUAUGUGAGAAGAUUGAUGUAACACGAAAGACUGGGACUCACAUAUGUUAUAACAAAUGAAGCAAUUUUCUGGAGUUAUUAAGCAUGUUUGGAUAUGAUCUCAUGAAUAGAAUGCUACUACUUAGAUACGAGAACCAGUGACACCAUAUGCUCAUACCAAUUUCGAACUCCACAAAUAGAAACACACAACACUCAAGAUUGAAGUCGAGGGUUGUAACAGGGCUUGGGGGUAAUGGCUAAUAAAGAAAGGGUAGGAAUAACAAAUGUUCUUAAAGCGAUAGCAAGCAAAGCAAUGAAAUAGACACUUGGAAUUCACUUUAGAAUGCAGAAUCAACUUUUACAUACAAAGGGAAGAUUCAUGCAACUCUUAGGGCCGAAUUCAAUGUUUUGGACCAUUUUUUAACAAACAACACUUUAGAGCUCUUUUUCAUACUCUUUUUUUUUUUCUUUUCUCUACCCGUGCCUUAUUAAGGACUUUGGCAAACACACACACACAAGAAUCACUUCCCCCACACUUGCUUUCUGCAAUACAUUGAUAAAAAAGGAGUUCAUUUUAGGUCAUGCUUUACUAUGCUUCAAGAACAAGGGUAUGGAUGAUCCUAAAACUAGGCUAGGUAAGGAUAGUGUGGGUUAACAAAGAAUAUAGGCUUAACAAAGCUCAACGGGGUUAAACUUAAACACAUAAUGAAAUAAGGGCACGGCAAUUUGGCUUUGGUGGUUACUACACAACUUCAUCUUGAAUAUGUGUUAUGCAAAUCAAUAGCAUGCUUUGAAUGAAAUAGGCAUGAGUUCUAGCAUUUGGAACUAAAUAAUGAAAUGCAUUCUAAGUAGUAACCAAGCUAAGAAUAAUGAGACCAUGCAACGACUUUAGAAAACAAUGAUGCAUAGAUUAUUAACUCUCCAAAUAAACGUUUAGGCUCAAGUCUCACAAGGUUGUAGCGUUCAUUUGAUCAUUUGAGUUUCUUCCUUCAAGCAUGUUACAAAAACUGAUUUUUCCUUUAUGAUUGCAUGUGAAUUCAUAAAUUAUAACAACAACCAAGCAUACACCAAAGAGGAAAUCAAAUUUUCAUCCAUGUUUAUAACUCUCUUUAACAGUCAUGUACUUAAAAACCAAAUCAUCAUCAUUGUGUUGGAAGGUACCCUAAGACACAAAUAAACACACAAAAACAACUCUUUUUGGGUUUUUCAAAACAGUUUUUCAAAUUUUUAAGAGAUUUUUGGAUUUUUAUGUCAAAACACACUAAAACAUUCCAAAACAGCUUUAAAACACAGCAAGGAACAACACUAGAAGUAAUGGGUGAUAAACUCCUACGAAUUUCAUGCAGAACAACUUGGUUACCCCCCCCACACUUAAAUCAAACAUUGUCCUCAAUGUUUCAAGCAUAAACUCACACAAGAACAAGCAAACAAACAAACAACGAAUAAACAUGACAAGUAUAGCAAAGUAAAAACAAGAAAGAGUAGAGUUUAGGAACGCAAAUCUAGUUUUGAAGAUAGAUGAUCUUGGCGACUUUCCAUAGCUUUGAUCUCGAACUGGUUUGGAAUUCUAAGCGAGGGAUAUUAGAGUUCCUUGGUUUCAACUCAGACUCCUUGUGCAGUCUGCAUUCUUCUUUGCUUGUUGCUUCUGCACGACAGGCCGGCACGAGGUAGAGGUGAUGGUCUGUUUCUUUGUUUAAUCUAUCCAAGUGCCGACUGAUUGCUUUCUUUCUUCUUGUAGGCAAGAGCAAGGGUAAAGGAAAAGCAUGCCAUGAGAUAUCUUUGUCUUCGACUUUGACGAUAUGAGAUACUUUUGCUUUUGAAGAAGUAUCUUUCCACAUGCUUUUUCUUGAACUGGGCUAGGAUUCUGAGCAAGGAAUAAGAGAGUUCUUUGGUGGUGGUGAAUUGAUAGCAUUGUACGGUGAGGCUUUGCGCUUUGGUGAUGGUGCCGUCAAUAUGUUGUUGAAACUUUUCGAGCUCUUUGUCCUUAGUUGAAGAUGAAUCAGCACGUUGUCUCCACAUGCUUCGAGGUAUCAUUUUCACUUCCCUUAUCUGUUCUCCAGGCAGAUGUGGUAUCUUUUCUUGAAGCAUAAGAUGUUGAAAAAAAUGAGUACUCGAGAGCAAUGCUAGGUAAGCAAUCGAGAAGGGGUUCCAGGCAGUUGGUUCUUAGAUCGGAAGAUUGAUACCAAGUGCUGGCCGAUUGCUCUUUUUCUCCUUGUCAAAGACAAGGAAAAUGACAGGGAGAAAGCAUGAUAUGAGAUACUCUUGCUUUCAACCUUCAUGAUAUGAAAUACUUUUGCUUUUGAUGAGUUGUUUGCAGAGGUACCCCAGGGAAUAAAGAACACUGAGUGACUCGAGAGGCUUCGUUAGGAAGGCAUUCUCGGAGAUGAAUAAGGGUUAUGUAUGUCUGCCUUGUAAUGGAGGGUGAAGGUCGACAUUUAUAUGAAUUAAUAACCGGUACUAUUCUUUCACUCUUGUCGGCAACCGUUGGAUGAUUGAACAUAAACUUCACGUGCUUUCUACUUCACCAGAAAUCUUCGAUCGAUUGCCCGUUAUUUCCGCAAGGCUGAGUGUGCAUGUGACAGGUGAUGACACGUCUAAAAAAACAAGUGCCUCUUCGAUAUCUGAGAUCGGCGAUUCGACAAAUUAUCCGUGAUUUUUGCAAAACUGAGUGUGCAUAUGAUAAAUGAUAACACGUCUUGGAAAAAUAGGUGCCUCUUCGAUAUCUGAGAUCGGUGCUUCGACAAAUUAUCCGUGAUUUUCGCAAAGCUGAGUGUGCAUGUGAUAGGUGAUGACACGUCUGGAAAAGCACGUGCCUCUUCGAUAUCUGUGAUCGGCGCGUGGUUUCUGAGUAGCCCAACUUUUGAGAAAUAAGGCGUCUCUUCGAUUUUCGAGAUUGGCCCGUGGUUUUUAAGUAGCCCAGCUUUUGAGAAAGCAGGCGUCUCUUCGAUUUCUAAGCAGGCACCUCUAAAGCUCUGUCGGGUGCUGAUUUAUAGAGGCACGCAUUACGUUUCAAAGCACACUUGCAUUGCCACCUAUAGAAAUUUCCUUUUUGCACUUCUGAAAUCUUGAUUUGUCUGACCUCUUCUUCAACACCUUAGGAAAUGUCUUGCCCAUCUGACCGUCAUCUUAACUUGAAUGUCGGGUAAGAUAUUGACAUGUCUUCUCCAGACAACAUUUGGCAUCCAUCCUUCGUAUCCCCCAAUGGUCCUCUUAUAGUUGGGGAUUCUAUGAUGAUGAACGAUACAACUGCUUCGGUGGUGGCCAGAAAUCUUCUCACUCCUAGAGACAAUAGGAUACUUUCCAAGUGGUCCGAUGAGCUGGCUGUUCAGGACUAUCUGGCCUUCAGUGUCCGAUGUGCAGGCUCAGUAUCAAACAUGGGCCAACGCCUUCUUGCUCGAUCUCGUCAGGUUGAGUCGUUGAUGGCUGAAGUGGCCAGUCUUCAAAAGGUCAGAGUGCUUAGGCACGAGAAUAAAGAGUUACACAUGCUUGCAACUAAUUACUCAACAAGUAUGAAGAGGAAGCUUGACCAACUGCAGGAGUCCGAAGUUCAAAUUCAGAGUGAUCAUCAAUGGUUUGUGGCCUUACUCCAGCGGCAACUUCUGCCUUCGUCAUCUGGCACUUCACCAAGUGUUGUGGCUCCGGAAAAUCAAAUUAUGGCGCUUUGACUUUCUGGAGGUCCGUCGAAUGCUAAGGCACCACCUAACCAAUGAAGGCUCAUUCCUGCUCAUUUGCACUUGCUUGUAUUUUUCUACCUUUCUACCUAAUGUUCCUUUUCCACGAAAAUUAAUGUAAAAAUACCUUGUUUACCUGUCAAUGUUUCAAAAAUAAACCCACACCAAAAACAAUUAAACAAGCAACAAAUAAAAAUGACAAUCAUGGCAAAAUAAAAAUGCAGAAAAGGGAAAGUUUUUAGGAACGCAAAACCAAUCGUGGAGCAAUUCAAAAAUCUUCCUUAUUUGAAUACAUGGGUUGCUCCUCAAGAAGCGCUUGCUUUAACAUCUUCCAGCCGGACGAUACCCCUCUUUAAGUUCCCCUAGGUCCCAUAGCAUGAAAUUGAUCCUUGAAUGGAAGGUGAUACUUGACGUGAUCCGACAAUGGUUUAAAUUCUAGUGUAGGUGCCUGAAUCAUCAAAAUCAGCAAGUUAGUAGAAAAUGAAGUUGGAAAAGAUAGCUUACUUGCUUGCUCUGACACAAACUCAAUUAUGAACACCACAUCUUUGAAGGUUGUAGGGAUAUUGGACUUGGCCAGAUUGAAUGUGAUGGUUGGGCCUUGUCCCAUGCCAUAAAAUUCAACUUCUUUGGGCUUUGUUGUCUCAUGUACAACCUCCUUGAUGCAUUUUACACAUUCACCAACCACUUCUUUCUCUUGACUCCUUCUUCUUGGUGUACAAGGUUCUUUGAACACUUCAACACAAUCUGGAACUUGACUUGGUGUGCCAAGAAUUGGGAUAUCACUUUGCACCUUUGGAAUGGCUUCCAAAAUGUCUCUUUCACUCUCAUCUUUCUUGGGAAUUAAAAACUUGAGAGGAAAAGGUGCAUUCGGAGGAAUAACAUUAGAAUGAAAUAAAACUGGGACGUUCUUACUUAUGGUGGGUGGUUUAGAAGGCUUAGGGGGCUGCGGCAAGGGUUGUUCUACCAUUGCCGUGUGUAUGUCUUCUUCCUCCUCCUCAAUCAGCAGCUCCUCAUCCACUUCUAGGCUAUGUUUGGACAUUUUUAAGUCAGCUCCAACCUCCAUAGCACUUCCCAAAGUGAUAGCAUCAUGGAUUUCAAAUCUUCCUUCAAAUUUUCAAUAGUUGAGUUGAAGAGUUCACUUUGCUCUUGAAUUUGUGCCAUGAACUCCAUAAUCUGCCCAAUUUGCAUCUCCAAUUCGCCCGUCUUCUUGGCUUGAUUUUGCAUCUCUUUGUUUCGAUUUUCUACUUCCUGGUUCAAAGAGGUGAGUAACUUAUUAAACAUAUCAUUAUCCAAAGACGUACCUGAAUUGAAUUGGGCAGAUUGUUGUGGUGGCUGUAUAGGUCUUGAAUAGAACUCCUCUUCUUGCUGCCAAUAUCCAUCUUGUUGGAAUUGUUGAGGUUCUCCCUACAUGUAAUCUGAACAAUCUCUCCAAUCCAAAUUGUAAGCAUUGGAAAACAUGUUGUCUCAUGAUUGGCUAUGGCCUUCAUAACCCCAAACAUCUUCAUUUGCAGCGAAUUGAGAACAUUGAUGAGUUGGAUAUCCUUGCCCAUAGGACACACCACAUGUAGGGAUACUUUGCAUUGUGGUCCUUUCGGCUUAUUGUGACAAUUGAGAAGUAAGUUUCGCCAAUUGAGCUUGAAUGGUAGCAAAAUCCAUGUCUUACUUCUCUAGUACCUGAACUCAAGGAAACAAAACUAAAUCAAAUAUCAAAAGUAAAAAUAAAAGAUACAAACAAAAACAAAGUCAGUAACUAAAACAAAAGACAUGUAAAAGAAACAAUGGGGGAUUAGCAAAGUUGCUAAUCCCCGGCAACGGCGCCAAAAACUUGAUGCGAAAAUUAACUUAACACACAAAUUAAACUCUCUUGUUGUCAAUUGUAGUAAAGAAUGUAAGUAGGGAUCGUUCCAGGCCGGGGAUUAUGAGGGAUUGCUAAAACACCUGAAACUGACUUAAAAAUGUAGAAUUAAGUUUAAAACACCAAACUAGACUCAAAAGAUGCAAUACAAACUAAAAAGACUCAAAACUAGUUUGAAAAACUCAAAACAGCUUAAAACAAUGAAUUAGACUCUAAACUGACUCUAGGGAUGGGUUUGGACGAUAUUGGGUUCUAACUUGACUCAAGACACUUAAAAACACAAAUCAAAACAGAUUUUGACUAAUAAAACACUUUAAAGUAAAGGGGGAUUGGAUUUUGACGAAUUUGAAAAUAAAACAAACAGAUUGUAAGCUAAAACAGAUUUUGGACGAAUUUGGGUAAACUAUGGAUGAUAGGCUAAUUAGAGGGUUCUUCUUCACACAUGACACACUUGCACAUAAACCAAUUUUCAGUUGUUCUUUCAAUGAAUCAUGAAACUCAACACCCCAGAUUAAUUAAGUCCGCUUAAAUUAACCUUCAAGUUCUCCUUAAGUUAUUGAAUUGGAUGGGAAAGCGCAUACAACAAUUCAAGCAUUCUUCAAAAGUCCUUUACGUGAACAGCACAAUAAAGAAACAAUCAAAGAUCAUUAAGCAUUAUGAAAACUAUAAGUAUUGACGAGGUAUUCGUUACUAUGAUGAGUAUGAAACUCCUGCCAAGAAUUUAUUUAACGCGAUCAUUUAGAAGCGACCUCCACUACUUGUGAAUAUAAGUUUGUAACUAUUAGGUGAAACUCCCUUAUAUUCUAGCAUCAUAUUCAUGCAUGCAACUAAGUGUGCACUCUUAAUAAACAUACCCGAAUAAGUUAACAAUCAAGCAGCUAAACAAAUUGAAAUCACAACUUAUGAAUCACAACUAAAAGUAAUCAAAUCAUAUUGCAAGCAUGAACAUGGUUUCGAAUUCCCCCCUAGCUAAGUGGGGUUUAGUUACUCACAAUUGCAACAAAAUCAGAAAAUAACAUAGUAGACAUUGAAAGCAAGAACGAAGUACACCUAAAAACGCUCCAAAGUUUCAAGCUUGAAACGCCAAGGACCUUCGUUUUCACCACCUUGUUGUAGCACAAGUGUCUAAGGAUGUGUGUGGAUAUAUGGAAAGUUAUGAAUGUAUUUAGGAUUGGUGAAUGUCUCGGCCAUGGGAAUGGAGUGUAUGGAGUUGUGAGAUGUGAAUGUAGUGUCUUUUUUUUUAUGGAUUUUUUCUGAUCUCUUGUUAUGGUGAAGGGUGGAUGUAUUUAUAGGCUAGGGAGAGGACCACCAUCUAAUUAAGGUGGUAGUGGUGUAUGUUGUGGUAAUGAGUGGAUGUAAUGGUGCAGUGGAUGAGUGUUUGGUAAUAAGUGGAUGUAAUGGGUGGAGUGGAUGGAUGUUUGGUAAUGAGUGGAUGUAAUGGGUGUAGUGGAUGAAUGUUUGGUAAUGAGUGGAUGUAUUGGGUGUAGUGGAUGGAUGUUUGGUAAUGAGUGGAUGGGUGUAGUGGAUGAAUGUUUGGUAAUGAGUGGAUGUAAUGGGUGUAGUGGAUGGAUGUUUGGUAAUGAGUGGAUGUAAUGGGUGUAGUGGAUGAGUGUUUGGUAAUGAGUGGAUGUAAUAGGUGUAGGUAAUGAGUAGAUGUAAUGGGUGUAAUGGAUAGAUGUUUGGUAAUGAGUGGAUGUAAUGGGUGUAGUGGAUGGAUGUUAGGUAAUGAGUGGAUGUAAUGGGUGUAGUGGAUGAGUGUUUGGUAAUGAGUGGAUGUAAUGGGUGUAGUGGAUGGAUGUUAGGUAAUGAGUGGAUGUAAUGGGUGUAGUGAAUGAAUGUUUGGUAAUGAGUGGAUGUAAUGGGUGUAGUGGAUGAGUGUUUGUAGUUGUAGGUCAACACACUUGCACACACACAUGCUGAUUUCUAGCCUUCUAAUCUUCAAAAACGUCCAUCAUCAUGUCUCCAUGCUAGCACUAUCCAAUCUUGGCCCAAAAAUGCUCCAAAAUGCUCCAAAUAGCACUUUGUUGCCAACUUUGUUAUUUGAACCUACAAACACACGAAAAUAACUUAAAGUACCAAAAUAACUAGAAUUAAACUAAGUAAAUGCCAAGAAACAAGCUCACUAAGUUGCAUAAAUAUGCUCCUAUCAUAUUCUCUCUUCAAUGCUUCAAUCUAUCAUUCCAAAUAUUCCAAUGAUAUGAUAACAAAUGAGUUUCAGACGUCAAGGGGGACAAAAGUGGCCAAGUAGCAACAAGAGAUAUGAUUCCAUUCUCUAUAAAUGAAGGAGACGUAAGUGACCAAAUAGCAACAAGAGAUAUGAUUUCAUUCUCUAUAAAUGAAUAUGAUUUCAUUCUCUAUAAAUGAAGGAGAAGAGCUAAGGAAAGAACACGGGAGGGAGAACAGCAACACCACCACACCAGUAAGAAGAAUGUCUUCUUUCUCAUACCACUCCCUCCUUCACUAUCCAUUUCUUUCAUAUUAUGUAAAGGCUCAAAGUCAUCUCCAUUGUACUUUGUAAAUCUUCUUACAUAGGGAAAACACAAAUGCAUAUGCAACUCUAGUGGACGUAGCCGAUUUGGUGAACCACUUAAAUCUAUGUGUUCAUUAUUACAAGCUGUAAAAAAGAAAAAGAGUGCGAAGCAAAAGCAAGAAUGAAAAGGAAUGAGAGAAUGAGUAAGGACAGCUGGGGGUCGGUUUAUAGAAAAGAGAGGAGAAGAAUUUCAAAGGAAAAAGAUUAAGCUAGCAGUGGUUAUUGAGGGAAAUGAAAAGAAGUAACAAAAAGAUGAUAAAAAUACAUUAAAAGAGUAAAAUGUUGUGUGGAAGGAAAAGGAGAGACAAGUGAAAGAAGGUGAUCAAGUUUGUGAGUGAGAACAUAAGGGAAGUAAGAUGAGAAGAAGUAGAAGUGGUGGACUAAAAUAAAAAUAAAAGAUGAUGUUUGGAAAGGGAAAAGUUAAAGACAUGAUUUCAUGCUUUGUGGCCUUUGACAUAUAUUUCACUCUAACGAUUCUCUUAUCCAACAUGGAUGUCUAUUCCUUUCUACUAAAAACAGGUUGCCGACCAAGAUGGACAAGACGAUGGAAAAAUAAAUAGAGUGGUCAAUGAGCAACACUUUAUAUGAUGGAUUAUAAAUUAUUACCUUGCUUGUUAACUAGUUUGAAUUAUAUGUUGAUUUAAUGGGCACGUGAUUUUUAUAUCUACAUUGCAUUAUAUAUGUAUAUGCAUUGCAAAGCAAGAAAAAGAGUCGUGUUGUGUGAAGUGCUCACUUAGAUAAAGUGUUUGAGUUGCGAGGAUAUGCAAGGGCUGGAGUUUGCAUUGAAUAUAAAAUAAUGAACCUUGUAUAUGCUAGGCGUCGGGUGCAGGGCUUGAGUAUACAAAUUGGUUGAUUUUAUAAAUAAUGAAAUCUUGUAUAUGUCAGACGUCAGAGGAAGGGCUUGAAUAUACAAUUGGGCGUCGGGAGAAGUGCUUGUAUAACAAAGUGGAAACUGAGAAUUUAAAUACAAAAAUUGGGUUUAAGGGAUGAACAGGAGUUAACUAAUAUUCUAAGGUAUUUGGAGCCAAGUGGUAUCAGCAUGGUAUAGGACGCGCAGGCUUGGAUGCCUUAGGUAUGUGUUAACGGGAUUAGAAGGGAAUGAGUACAUUCAUCCAUCUCAUUUGCAUAUAUUUUAUGCAUUUGAAAGAAUUGUUACAAUUUAAUUGUUAUCUAAUUGGUAGUUUUUAUUGUGAAUUAAUUUGUGUACUAUUGUUAUUUCCGCUGCGUAUUCAAUAAAUUAUAUGUGAUAAACUCAAGUUUUAUCAUGUAAAACUUUGUGACGUGAAUAGUGUUUCAAUUAUUAAUCAAUUUUAUUUUAAUUUUUCCACCAUGUCUUGGUUGUAAAAUUUAUUUCUAUAGCUAAGAUAUGGUUCACACCCUAGCUCGUGAAU
rnacentral:lncRNA from 1 species